GCAUCAAGUAUGCAUAAUAUUGCAAAAGCGCAUCACUUUAAAAGGCUUAAAACAUACAGGUGUUCUUGGGAUAGGAAAAGACUUUGUUUGUUUGUGAAACAGGAGUUUUGACUACGAGACUAUUUUGCAGUAUACUUUGGUAACUUUAUGCCUCGUGUACAGAGAAAUUCGUCCAGAUCAAGGCCAGGAUUUUGGCGAAGUUUGUAAGGGAUUAAUUUGUUCAUUAUUAACGUAUUGAUCUUAUGGACUUAAUUGCGUAUUUGGUUAACAGCUAUAAACUUGGUUGAUUCAUAAGUAUAUAGAAGGAAUUUUGUUCUCACGAUUCGAGGAUCAACAAGGAUACACGAUAUAUACCACAUGAACGUUGAAGGUGUUUGUAGAUUGAAAAACGCAUGUAAAUUUUGUACAUUUUUAAACGGCAAGAGCAGCUGCAGAGAUGUAAUUACUAUGGGCCUUCCGCCUCCGCAUCACUCUAACCAACUGAGCUACAGAGAUGAGUUUCAUUCUUUGCUCCGGAAACAAGACAUUUAUCAUUUAUUAAAAAUCGACCUUCGGUGAUAAAUCGCCAUGAAGAAGCAUGUUUGGCAGCCAUUGAAUUAAUAGACCAGUGAAUUACUCGAAAUUUUACAAUGAAGUUUUGAUCAAGUCCUAGGACUAGAUGAAGUUUUGAUCAAGUCUUAGGACUGGAUGAAGUUUUGAUCAAGUCCUAGGACUGGAUGAAGUUUUGAUCAAGUCCUAGGACUGGAUGAAGUUUUGAUCAAGUGCUA